UAGGGAAUUUUCGGCAAUGGGGGGAACCCUGACCGAGCAACGCCGCGUGAACGAAGAAGGCCUUCGGGUCGUAAAGUUUUGUUGUUAAGGAUGAAAGAGCGUAAUAGGGAAUGAUUACGAAGUGACAGUACUUAAUUAGAAAGUCACGGCUAACUACGUGCCAGCAGCCGCGGUAAUACGUAGGUGGCAAGCGUUAUCCGGAAUUAUUGGGCGUAAAGGGUGCGUAGGCGGAAUAGAAAGCCUGUCGUAAAAGGUUUCUGCUCAACGGGGACAAGCGAUAGGAACUAAUAGACUAGAGUACGGGAGAGGUUAACGGAAUUCCAUGUGUAGCGGUGAAAUGCGUAGAUAUAUGGAGGAACACCGGUGGCGAAGGCGGUUAACUGGCCCGGGACUGACGCUGAGGCACGAAAGCGUGGGGAGCAAAUAGG
rnacentral:rRNA from 1 species